AGGGUUUGAUCAUGGCUCAGGAUGAACGCUGGCGGCGUGCUUAACACAUGCAAGUCGAACGAACCUUCGGGUUAGUGGCGGACGGGUGAGUAACGCGUGGGAAUCUGCCCUCAGGAGGGGGAUAACGGCUGGAAACGGCCGCUAAUACCCCAUAUGCCGAGAGGUGAAAUGAAUUUCGCCUGAGGAUGAGCCCGCGUCUGAUUAGCUUGUUGGUGAGGUAAUGGCUCACCAAGGCUUCGAUCAGUAGCUGGUCUGAGAGGAUGAUCAGCCACACUGGGACUGAGACACGGCCCAGACUCCUACGGGAGGCAGCAGUGGGGAAUUUUCCGCAAUGGGCGAAAGCCUGACGGAGCAACGCCGCGUGAGGGAUGAAGGCCUCUGGGCUGUAAACCUCUUUUCUCAAGGAAGAAGAUAUGACGGUACUUGAGGAAUAAGCCACGGCUAAUUCCGUGCCAGCAGCCGCGGUAAUACGGGAGUGGCAAGCGUUAUCCGGAAUUAUUGGGCGUAAAGCGUCCGCAGGCGGCCUUUCAAGUCUGCUGUUAAAACGUGGAGCUUAACUCCAUCAAGGCAGUGGAAACUGUUGGGCUUGAGUGUGGUAGGGGCAGAGGGAAUUCCCGGUGUAGCGGUGAAAUGCGUAGAUAUCGGGAAGAACACCAGUGGCGAAGGCGCUCUGCUGGGCCAUAACUGACGCUCAUGGACGAAAGCCAGGGGAGCGAAAGGGAUUAGAUACCCCUGUAGUCCUGGCCGUAAACGAUGAACACUAGGUGUCGGGGGAAUCGACCCCCUCGGUGUUGUAGCCAACGCGUUAAGUGUUCCGCCUGGGGAGUACGCACGCAAGUGUGAAACUCAAAGGAAUUGACGGGGGCCCGCACAAGCGGUGGAGUAUGUGGUUUAAUUCGAUGCAACGCGAAGAACCUUACCAGGGUUUGACAUCCUGCGAACCUCUAAGAAAUUGGAGGGUGCCUUCGGGAACGCAGUGACAGGUGGUGCAUGGCUGUCGUCAGCUCGUGUCGUGAGAUGUUGGGUUAAGUCCCGCAACGAGCGCAACCCACGUUUUUAGUUGCCAGCAUUCAGUUGGGCACUCUAGAGAGACCGCCGGUGAUAAACCGGAGGAAGGUGUGGACGACGUCAAGUCAUCAUGCCCCUUACAUCCUGGGCUACACACGUACUACAAUGCUACGGACAAAGGGCAGCGAACUCGCGAGGGCAAGCAAAUCCCAUAAACCGUGGCUCAGUUCAGAUCGUAGGCUGCAACUCGCCUACGUGAAGCAGGAAUCGCUAGUAAUCGCAGGUCAGCAUACUGCGGUGAAUACGUUCCCGGGCCUUGUACACACCGCCCGUCACACCAUGGAAGUUGGCCAUGCCCGAAGUCGUUACUCCAACCCUUGUGGAGGAGGACGCCGAAGGUGGGGCUAAUGACUGGGGUGAAGUCGUAACAAGGUAACC
rnacentral:rRNA from 1 species